rnacentral:rRNA from 1 species
GAUGAACGCUGACAGAAUGCUUAACACAUGCAAGUCAACUUGAAUUUGGGUUUUUAACUUAGGUUUGGGUGGCGGACGGGUGAGUAACGCGUAAAGAACUUGCCUCACAGCUAGGGACAACAUUUGGAAACGAAUGCUAAUACCUAAUAUUAUGAUAAUAGGGCAUCCUAUAAUUAUGAAAGCUAUAAGCGCUGUGAGAGAGCUUUGCGUCCCAUUAGCUAGUUGGAGAGGUAACGGCUCACCAAGGCGAUGAUGGGUAGCCGGCCUGAGAGGGUGAUCGGCCACAAGGGGACUGAGACACGGCCCUUACUCCUACGGGAGGCAGCAGUGGGGAAUAUUGGACAAUGGACCGAGAGUCUGAUCCAGCAAUUCUGUGUGCAAGAUGAAGUUUUUCGGAAUGUAAAGUGCUUUCAGUUGGGAAGAAACAAAUGACGGUACCAACAGAAGAAGUGACGGCUAAAUACGUG